rnacentral:misc_RNA from 1 species
AAUUGUCAUGUAUUGUCCGAAUGAACAGACGGUUAGAAGCAGUGCAAAACCCAUAUGAUUGUAGACAUCCACGGCGUAGAUAAUUAUCACACCAAUAGAUGGUCCACGCGGGUCACCAGCUAAUGCAUUUAAGGGGAGCUGAUCUCUGUGAAGAAGCCAGCAAAAGAAACCCCCACAUCCAAUCCAUUAUCAACAAAAGCUAAUAAGGUUGAGAAUUUAAUGACACUCAAACAGGCAUGCUCCUCGGAAUACCAAGGAGCGCAAGGUGCGUUCAAAGAUUCGAUGAUUCACUGAAUUCUGCAAUUCACAUUACUUAUCGCAUUUCGCUGCGUUCUUCAUCGAUGCGAGAGCCAAGAGAUCCGUUGCUGAAAGUUGUAUAAGGUUUAUAGGCACAAGGCCCAAUGAUACAUUCUGUUACAUUCUAUAGGGGUAUAUGAAAAACAUAGUCCUGGACAUGCAAAGAAAGCUGGCUCACAGAGCGCAGCAAUCUUCCCGACCGAGUUGCCUCGGAAAGUCAAUCCAGGUCUACAAGAGGUGCACAGGUGGAGAGAUGAGGAUGAUGGGUGUGCACAUGCCCCCGAGAGGGCCAGCAACAACCACACCAAGUUCAUUCAAUAAUGAUCCUUCC